GCAAGCGUUAUCCGGAAUUAUUGGGCGUAAAGGGCUCGUAGGCGGUUCGUCGCGUCCGGUGUGAAAGUCCAUCGCUUAACGGUGGAUCCGCGCCGGGUACGGGCGGGCUUGAGUGCGGUAGGGGAGACUGGAAUUCCCGGUGUAACGGUGGAAUGUGUAGAUAUCGGGAAGAACACCAAUGGCGAAGGCAGGUCUCUGGGCCGUUACUGACGCUGAGGAGCGAAAGCGUGGGGAGCGAACAGGAUUAGAUACCCUGGUAGUCCACGCCGUAAACGGUGGAUGCUGGAUGUGGGGCCCGUUCCACGGGUUCCGUGUCGGAGCUAACGCGUUAAGCAUCCCGCCUGGGGAGUACGGCCGCAAGGCUAAAACUCAAAGAAAUUGACGGGGGCCCGCACAAGCGGCGGAGCAUGCGGAUUAAUUCGAUGCAACGCGAAGAACCUUACCUGGGCUUGACAUGUUCCCGACGGUCGUAGAGAUACGGCUUCCCUUCGGGGCGGGUUCACAGGUGGUGCAUGGUCGUCGUCAGCUCGUGUCGUGAGAUGUUGGGUUAAGUCCCGCAACGAGCGCAACCCUCGCCCCGUGUUGCCAGCGGAUUAUGCCGGGAACUCACGGGGGACCGCCGGGGUUAACUCGGAGGAAGGUGGGGAUGACGUCAGAUCAUCAUGCCCCUUACGUCCAGGGCUUCACGCAUGCUACAAUGGCCGGUACAACGGGAUGCGACGCGGCGACGCGGAGCGGAUCCCUGAAAACCGGUCUCAGUUCGGAUCGCAGUCUGCAACUCGACUGCGUGAAGGCGGAGUCGCUAGUAAUCGCGAAUCAGCAACGUCGCGGUGAAUGCGUUCCCGGGCCUUGUACACACCGCCCGUCAAGUCAUGAAAGUGGGCAGCACCCGAAGCCGGUGGCCUAACCCGUUGUGGGAUGGAGCCGUCUAAGGUGAGGCUCGUGAUUGGGACUAAGUCGUAACAAGGUAGCCGUACCGGAAGGUGCGGCUG
rnacentral:rRNA from 1 species